GGAAUAUUGGUCAAUGGACGAGAGUCUGAACCAGCCAAGUAGCGUGCAGGACGACUGCCCUAUGGGUUGUAAACUGCUUUUAUGCGGGAAUAAAGUUCACUACGUGUAGUGUUUUGUAUGUACCGCAUGAAUAAGGACCGGCUAAUUCCGUGCCAGCAGCCGCGGUAAUACGGAAGGUCCGGGCGUUAUCCGGAUUUAUUGGGUUUAAAGGGAGCGCAGGCCGAAGGUUAAGCGUGACGUGAAAUGUACCGGCUCAACCGGUGACUUGCGUCGCGAACUGGCUUUCUUGAGUGAGUACGACGUCAGCGGAAUUCGUGGUGUAGCGGUGAAAUGCUUAGAUAUCACGAAGAACCCCGAUUGCGAAGGCAGCUGACGAGUCCUUAACUGACGCUAAUGCUCGAAAGUGCGGGUAUCGAACA
rnacentral:rRNA from 1 species